AUUGAACGCUGGCGGCAUGCCUUACACAUGCAAGUCGAACGGCAGCACGGGAGCAAUCCUGGUGGCGAGUGGCGAACGGGUGAGUAAUAUAUCGGAACGUGCCCAGUCGUGGGGGAAACGCAGCGAAAGCUGUGCUAAUACCGCAUACGAGCUACGGAUGAAAGCGGGGGAUCGCAAGACCUCUCGCGAUUGGAGCGGCCGAUAUCGGAUUAGCCAGUUGGUGAGGUAAAGGCUCACCAAGGCGACGAUCUGUAGCUGGUCUGAGAGGACGACCAGCCACACUGGAACUGAGACACGGUCCAGACUCCUACGGGAGGCAGCAGUGGGGAAUUUUGGACAAUGGGCGCAAGCCUGAUCCAGCAAUGCCGCGUGCAGGAUGAAGGCCUUCGGGUUGUAAACUGCUUUUGUACGGAACGAAACGGUGAGCUCUAAUACAGUUUGCUAAUGACGGUACCGUAAGAAUAAGCACCGGCUAACUACGUGCCAGCCGCCGCGGUAACAC
rnacentral:rRNA from 1 species